GACGAACGCUGGCGGCGUGCUUAACACAUGCAAGUCGAACGGGAUUUAGUAGACAGUAGCCUCGGCUAAAGAUUACUAAUGAGAGUUGCGAACUGGUUAGUAACGCGUGAGCAACCUGCCUAUUACAGUGGGAUAGCCUCGGUAAACCGGGAUUAAUACCGCAUAAAAUCGUAGAAACACAUGUUUCAACGGUCAAAGAUUUAUCGGUCAUAUAUGGGCUCGCUUCUGAUUAGCUAGUUGGUGAGAUAACAGCCCACCAAGGCGACGAUCAGGAGCCGGUCUGAGGGGCUGACCGGCCACAUUGGAACUGAGACACGGUCCAAACUCCUACGGGAGGCAGCAGUGGGGAAUAUUGCACGAUGGGGGAUACCCUGAUGCCGCGACGCCGCGUGAACGAAGAAGGUAUUCGUAUCGUAAAGUUCUGUCCUAUGGGAAGAUAAUGACAGUACCAUAGAAGAAAGCUCCGGCUAAAUACGUG
rnacentral:rRNA from 1 species